rnacentral:rRNA from 1 species
GACGAACGCUGGCGGCGUGCUUAACACAUGCAAGUCGAACGGAAAGGCCCUGCUUUUGUGGGGUGCUCGAGUGGCGAACGGGUGAGUAACACGUGAGUAACCUGCCCUGGACUUUGGGAUAACUUCAGGAAACUGGGGCUAAUACCGGAUAGGAGCUCCGGUUGCAUGGCGGGGGUGGGAAAGUUUCGGCGGUUGGGGCUGGACUCGCGGCUUAUCAGCUUGUUGGUGGGGUAGUGGCUUCCCAAGGCUGUGACGGGUAGCCGGCCUGAGAGGGUGACCGCCCACAUUGGGACUGAGAUACGGCCCAGCCUCCUACGGGGGGCAGCGGUGGGGAAUAUUGCACAAUGGGCGGAAGCCGGAUGCAGCAACGCCGCGUGCGGGAUGACGGCCUUCGGGUUGUAAACCGCUUUCGCCUGUGACGAAGCGUGAGUGACGGUACUGAGUGAAGAGGCACCGGCUAACUACGUG